rnacentral:rRNA from 1 species
CCUACGGGUUGCAGCAGUGGGGAAUAUUGGACAUUGGGCGCAAGCCUGAUGCAGCCAUGCCGCGUGUAUGAAGAAGGCCUUCGGGUUGUAAAGUACUUUCAGCGGGGAGGAAGGCGAUAAGGUUAAUAACCUUGUCGAUUGACGUUACCCGCAGAAGAGGCACCGGCUAACUCCGUGCCAGCAGCCGCGGUAACACGGAGGGUGCAAGCGUUAAUCGGAAUUACUGGGCGUAAAGCGCACGCAGGCGGUCUGUCAAGUCGGAUGUGAAAUCCCCGGGCUCGACCUGGGAACUGCAUUCGAAACUGGCAGGCUGGAGUCUUGUAGAGGGGGGUAGAAUUCCAGGUGUAGCGGUGAAAUGCGUAGAGAUCUGGAGGAAUACCGGUGGCGAAGGCGGCCCCCUGGACAAAGACUGGCGCUCAGGUGCGAAAGCGUGGGGAGCAAACAGGAUUAGAUACCCGUGUAGUC